rnacentral:rRNA from 1 species
CGGACGGGUGAGUAAUGUCUGGGAAACUGCCUGAUGGAGGGGGAUAACUACUGGAAACGGUAGCUAAUACCGCAUAACGUCGCAAGACCAAAGAGGGGACCUUCGGGCCUCUUGCCAUCAGAUGUGCCCAGAUGGGAUUAGCUAAUAGGUGGGGUAACGGCUCACCUAGGCGACGAUCCCUAGCUGGUCUGAGAGGAUGACCAGCCACACUGGAACUGAGACACGGUCCAG